rnacentral:lncRNA from 1 species
GCGGGGUUCAGCCCUGCGCGGGCGGGUGGUCCUGGUCGUCGUGGGGCGUGGUGUGGGCUCUCACAGGUGUGGGCCGUGUGCUAAACACGAGGUCUCCAGAGGAGUAACAGGACAUUAAAACCGUGAUGGGCUUUGCCAGCUUCCCUGCAGCUGAAAAAGCAGUUGAGAGUAGGCUUCAGUUUUAACGGAGUGCUUUUAUGAAGUACUUUCAUAAAGAAGAAAAUGUACCAAGGUUCCCACAGCUUUUUCAACAUUAAAAGAAACAAAAAAAAAUCUUUAUGCUCCUCCUGAUGUCUCAGCUGGACCUGAGGUGGGGGAUUUAAUUUUAUUUCAUGAAGUGUCAGUGUAAGCUGCUUCUCUAGGCUCUUUUGAGAGACUGGAG